rnacentral:tmRNA from 1 species
GGGGAUGAUUGGAUUUGACAAAUAAAUUAGCGUUAAAAUAGGCAAGUUGAGCCGAACAACUCAUAAAAAGGUUCAAAAACAAUAAGUGCAAACUUAUUUCAAAGAGCUAAAUUAGCUUUGGCCAAUCUUUGGCCAGAUUGGCCAGACGACAAUUUAGCCCCAGCUUUCGCUUAAUUUAAUUUCGCGAAAGCCGUUCGUUUGGCUGAUUCUCAAUAAGUCAAAACGAAUGUCAUAUUAUUGAGAUAGAUAAUUUUCUUCGGCUUAAGGAAAAUUAUUAAAAACACAUUAAGCCAAAAUCAAGAAUAUUUUGUCCCGCUUAAAUUUCUUGAUUUAAAAUCGCAGCGGGAAUAAACUUGUAGAAUAUUUUAAUGUUAUUAUUUGGACGGGGUUUCAAUACCCCCAUCUCCACAA